CUGCGACUAUUGGUAUGGAUUCUAAACCUGUUGCUAAAUUUUCCUUGAAAUAACCAAAACAUAAUCCAGCUAAUUCUUUUUCAGAAAAUGGCGCUGUAGUCGCAGACGAUUAUUUACGUCAAGUUACUACUCUACAUAUUACGAAUAUAUUUUAUGGAGCAAUGUAGUUUGAUGAAAGAUUCGAAGUUUAAACUGUUGUAUUCACGUGCGUAAAGGAUUACCAUGGCGACUGUUGCAGCAACAAAAGUUCAAGAAGUUCGUGAAAUCACAAGAAUUGAGCGUAUUGGUGCUCAUUCUCAUAUUAGAGGUUUAGGAUUAGAUGAUAGUUUGGAACCUCGCCAUGUAUCUCAAGGUAUGGUUGGCCAACUUAUGGCCCGUCGAGCUGCUGGUGUUGUCUUGGAGAUGAUAAAAGAUGGAAAAAUAGCAGGACGUGCUGUCUUAUUAGCAGGUCAACCUGGUACUGGUAAGACUGCCAUUGCCAUGGGAUUAGCUCAAGCGUUAGGAAUUGAUACUCCAUUCACAUCGAUGGCUGGAUCUGAAAUUUAUUCUUUGGAGAUGAGCAAAACAGAAGCAUUGACUCAAGCUAUAAGAAAAUCGAUAGGAGUUAGAAUUAAAGAAGAAACUGAAAUAAUAGAAGGCGAAGUAGUAGAAAUUCAAGUAGAUAGGCCUGCUACAGGAGUUGGUGCAAAAGUUGGAAAAUUGACAUUAAAAACUACAGAGAUGGAAACGAUUUAUGAUUUAGGAAAUAAAAUGAUUGAUAGUUUAAUGAAAGAAAAGGUACAAGCUGGUGACGUUAUCACGAUUGAUAAAGCAACUGGAAAAAUUAAUAAGUUAGGACGUUCAUUUACAAGAGCUCGAGAUUAUGACGCAACAGGAUCACAAACGAGAUUUGUACAGUGUCCAGAGGGCGAAUUACAAAAACGAAAAGAAGUAGUUCAUACUGUUACUUUGCAUGAGGUUGAUGUUAUAAAUAGUAGAACACAUGGUUUCUUAGCAUUGUUUUCCGGCGACACUGGUGAAAUUAAAUCCGAAGUAAGAGAUCAGAUAAAUGCUAAAGUAGCCGAAUGGCGUGAAGAAGGAAAAGCAGAAAUAGUACCAGGAGUAUUAUUUAUUGAUGAAGUCCAUAUGUUGGAUAUUGAAUGUUUUUCCUUUUUAAAUCGUGCGUUAGAAAACGAAAUGGCACCAGUUGUUAUUAUGGCAACAAACAGAGGAAUUACGAGAAUCAGGGGAACUAAUUAUAAAAGUCCUCACGGUAUUCCCAUCGAUUUACUCGAUCGUAUGAUCAUCGUUCCUACAACUCCGUAUCAAGAAAAAGAAUUGAAAGAAAUUUUAAAAAUAAGAUGCGAGGAAGAAGAUUGCGAAAUGGCGGAUGAUGCAUUGACUGUUCUCACAAGAAUUGCUUUGGAAACGUCUUUGAGAUACGCUAUUCAAUUAAUUACAACCGCAUCUCUUGUCAGUCGACGUAGAAAAAGUACAGAAGUGAGUAUAGACGACGUGAAACGCGUUUAUUCUCUAUUUCUCGAUGAAAAUAGAUCGACACAAUUUCUUAAGGAAUAUCAGGAUGAUUUUAUGUUCAAUGAAUUACCCGAAGAACCUAUGGAAAUUUCGUAACAGUAUGUAUCUUUUUUCAUUUUUCAGCCGAAGAACCUAUGGAAAUUUCGUAACAUGCCAUCUGGUUUAAACAAGGAUUGAGCUUUCUUAUCUUUUGAUAUAAAACCUAAUCCAUAUUCAACCUUAUAAACUGGCAAUGGGAUUACGGUAGAAGAUACGGGUAUCAUUACUGAAAAUAAAUAAUUAUUAUAUCAAUAAAUAAACGACAAACGUUUAUUUAUCGAUCGUUUAAGAAAAAGAUCAAGAAAUGUUUUGAAUCGUCGAGUUCGAUACGAGGUUAAUGUGUAUCGCGUGUCUCUGACUUUGUAAAUAAAGUACAACAAAAGAGUAACUUAUAUACAAAGAUGUCAGUUCUUCGCUGAUCUCCGUGGACCACGGACGUUAUUUUUGGAGGUCUACGCGAGUAUUAAAUAUAUAGGACAAAGAGAGAGAGAGUACUGUAACCAAAAUAUUACAUAAAGCAAUAAUCGAUAAAUAAAAUCUGGAACAAAACAAUGCACCAUUCUAUAAAUACACAUCAAAAACAAUUAUAGAAACGUAAGAACACAGAGAAGAAUGAAUACUACACUCGCUAGGACGCUAUUCCAAAUAUCUCAACUAUUUUAUUACCGACGAAGCAAUUUCCUUUUUAGUAGAAAAAUCUGAAGAAGAGGGUAUUAACUUUAAAGUACUAAGAAACUCUUAUUGUCCAACGUCUUUCCAUUCCGACUUUUAAUAAAACAUGUCAAACAAUUGCAAGUC